AUUGAACGCUGGCGGCAGGCCUAACACAUGCAAGUCGAACGAGUGGCAGACGGGUGAGUAAUGUCUGGGAAACUGCCUGAUGGAGGGGGAUAACUACGGGAAACGGUAGCUAAUACCGCAUACCAUAAGAUGUGACAGGAGGGGAUUAGCUUGUUGGUUGGGGAAAGGCUAACCAAGGCGACGAUGCCUAGCUGGUCUGAGAGGAUGACCAGCCACACUGGAACUGAGACACGGUCCAGACUCCUACGGGAGGCAGCAGUGGGGAAUAUUGCACAAUGGGCGAAAGCCUGAUGCAGCCAUGCCGCGUGUAUGAAGAAGGCCUUCGGGUUGUAAAGUACUUUCAGCGGGGAGGCGUUACCCGAAGAGGAAGCACCGGCUAACUCCGUGCCAGCAGCCGCGGUAAUAC
rnacentral:rRNA from 1 species